rnacentral:rRNA from 2 species
CUGCGGCAGCGAACGUAUCACUUAAAGCGAUUCAGCGGGUUACGAUUGACGGAGCGAAGCGACGUCAAAGCGUAUACAAAGUCGAGUCGGUUUAAGGAUACGUUCGUUGGGUAGGGGAGCGUUCUGUAAGCCUGUGAAGGUGUGUCGUGAGGCAUGCUGGAGGUAUCAGAAGUGCGAAUGCUGACAUAAGUAACGAUAAAGCGGGUGAAAAGCCCGCUCGCCGGAAGACCAAGGGUUCCUGUCCAACGUUAAUCGGGGCAGGGUGAGUCGACCCCUAAGGCGAGGCCGAAAGGCGUAGUCGAUGGGAAACGGGUUAAUAUUCCCGUACUUGGUGUUACUGCGAAGGGGGGACGGAGAAGGCUAUGUUGGCCGGGCGACGGUUGUCCCGGUUUAAGCGUGUAGGUGUGUGUUCCAGGUAAAUCCGGUUCACUUUAACACUGAGGCGUGACGACGAGGCACUACGGUGCUGAAGCAACAAAUGCCCUGCUUCCAGGAAAAGCCUCUAAGCAUCAGGUAACAUCAAAUCGUACCCCAAACCGACACAGGUGGUCAGGUAGAGAAUACCAAGGCGCUUGAGAGAACUCGGGUGAAGGAACUAGGCAAAAUGGUGCCGUAACUUCGGGAGAAGGCACGCUGACACGUAGGUGAAGUGAUUUACUCAUGGAGCUGAAGUCAGUCGAAGAUACCAGCUGGCUGCAACUGUUUAUUAAAAACACAGCACUGUGCAAACACGAAAGUGGACGUAUACGGUGUGACGCCUGCCCGGUGCCGGAAGGUUAAUUGAUGGGGUCAGCGCAAGCGAAGCUCCUGAUCGAAGCCCCGGUAAACGGCGGCCGUAACUAUAACGGUCCUAAGGUAGCGAAAUUCCUUGUCGGGUAAGUUCCGACCUGCACGAAUGGCGUAAUGAUGGCCAGGCUGUCUCCACCCGAGACUCAGUGAAAUUGAACUCGCUGUGAAGAUGCAGUGUACCCGCGGCAAGACGGAAAGACCCCGUGAACCUUUACUAUAGCUUGACACUGAACAUUGAGCCUUGAUGUGUAG